GAACUACUGGAGGGUGUUGCUGCCAAUCAGAAAUGCGAGGGUGGGGAGGUAGUGGUGGAACUGAUGGGUGGGGUGAGGCAAAGCAGGAAAGACUCAAAAAUCAGCACCAGCAGGCCACAGGUGCUCCAGUCCUGGACAGCCAGGACUCUGAUCUGAUGCCUCCAGCACCCCAGGAAAAUGGAGCACUUGGCCCUACUGGGAUUUUAAGGCGAGAAUGGGGGCUGGGAGGGGGGUGAUGCUGCGGUGAUGGUGGUGGGGAGCUGGGGUUUCCAUAGCAACAAGCAGCUGCUGCAUCUGAUGUUUCACAUCCUUCAUUGUCCUCAUUUCCCCUCCCUUCCCCCCUUCUUGUGCAUAUUUAAUUGCAGUAACGUUUUCAGACGCAGUGUUUUGCUCCUCCUGAAACAAAGGCAGGCAGCAGCCAGGGGGAUGCACAGCGAGAGAGAGGGGAAGGAGAAAUCAGGGGUAUUAUGUUAAUCCCCUCUGGGGGGGUCUUGAGUAACAUCAGUUCUGUUUGUUUGAUGAGAAUCAGAUGAUGGGCCCUGCUGGGGAAGGGAAGAAGCAAGAGGCCUGUGGAGUGGGCCUCAUCCAGUGUGGAGAGUGGAGGGAGACACCGCAGCUGGUGGGGGUCCAGAUGGGCCAGGGCUGGACAGCGCCAUGGCCUCCAGUCAGGCUCUGGCAGGUGUCCUGGCAGUGCCUGGUUGACAUCAACUGCCUCUGGACCAGGCAGAGGAGCAGCUAGUCCACAUCCUCACUCCCCUUAAUGGGACAGGCUGGGUCCCAGUGGAUCUAACAGAAAGCGGGAGCCAGUUCCCCUGAGGCCAGCCUCCAUCCUGAGGCCAUUUGGAAAUGCAUGUGGGAGGUCAUUUUUGGUGAUACCUUAAUUGGGGGUAUUUAGGAUGCAGGGGGCAGGGUGCUGGGCAUCUUGAGUAACAAAGAACUAUCCCACUCCAAAUGCCAACUGGGUCCCUUCCCUUAGGCUCUAGGACCAGAACACAAAGCUGUGUUUAAAUGUGGACUCUGCCUGUGAUGCUUCUGGAUUGUCACAUGGUAACACCUGUCAUGCUCAUGACCAGGGAAGUACCAUAUGUGGUUCGCAAAAACUUUUCUUCUUUGUAUUAUUAUUACAAAUAUGCUGGUCUGUUUUGUCAUCCUCUUUCCUGAAAAGGAGCAUGAUUCUACUGUUGUUUUUUUUUUUUUUUGUACCAGGGAUCGAACUCAAGACCUUGCGCUAGUGAGGCAGGUGCCGAAACCACUGAUCUAAAUCCCCGGCCCCUGGGAUUCUACUUUUUUAAAAGCUAAAUAUUUACGGAGCAUCUAGUACAUGUUAGACCAAGUACUUUACAUGUAUUAUCUCAUUUAAUUCCCAAAACCACUUAACAUGGGUACCACUAUUAUUUCUUUUUCUUUUUUUUUGGUACCAGGGAUUGAACUCAGGACCUUGUGCUCUCGAGGCAGGCAGCAGAACCACUGAGCUAAAUCCCUGGCCCACCAUUAUUAUUAUUAACUGAAGCACAAAGAAGUUAAUAGUCUACUCAAGGUCACAUGGUUAGUACUUGGUAGAGCUUAGCCCAUUUGUCUACUGCCUGUGCUUUUCCAAAAGUCUGUGCUAGACCGAUGCUCCCAGAAUAGCAGCACCACUCAUAGGGACAUAUAGCCAGCCUCUGUUUGGUUUCUCCGUCAAUGGGAUCCUCACUACUUCUUUAAGGAGGACUCACCAAUUCAAUCAGUUUGGCUGAAUUUAUCAAGUCUUUAUGGAAUGUCUCCAGGGCGUGCAUGGUACCCCACUGAGAAGUCUUGAACUUGGUCUCUGCCCUCUGGAAUUCCACAAUGGAAGACAAUGUCCUUCUACCAUAAAAGCUAUAACCAUCAGUGCUGGGGGCUGGCAAAGUAUGGAGAGGGCACUUGAUGGAAGCCAUAAGUAAGAGGAGGAGUAUAAAGAAGUGCCAAGGUGCCCAUUACGGUAGGGAAAGUCAAGGACAGGGCCUUAGGAGUCAGGGCUAGAGUCUUGGCUUUUCACUUAAUGUUGGGGUUGAAUAACGUCCCCCCAAAUUAAUGUCCACCCAGACUUGUGAAUGUGACCUUAGUGGAAACAGAAAUUUUGCAAAUGCAAUCAAGUUAAGAUGAGGUCAUACUGGGUUUGAUUAGGCUCUAAAUCCAAUGUCUAAUUCUGGGUUCUUCUAAGUGGACAGCAAUUUUGACACUGACAUGCAUGUGUGGAGAGUGACCUGUGAAGAUGGUGGCAGAAGUUGGAGCGACACAUCUAACCGCAGAUAUGCCAAGCAUGCUGGAGACCACAGAAACUGAAGAGACAGAGAAGGCUCUGCCCUUGGAGGCUUCAGCGGGAACACGGCCCUGCUGACACCUCGCUUCUGGACCUCCAUCCUCAAGACCCGGCAGAGAGCUGGGCCUUAGAGACUCCUGUGAGCUGCAGGAGCCGUGAAGAGAUAAUUGAUAGACACCUCAGGGCUCCUGGCAGCCCCAGAGGGGCUGGACGGAGAGGAGAGAAACUGUCUCUGGAGGAGCAGCACAAUGCACAACAGCCACGUUUAGAGGCAACCCUAGGCUCCAUUGGCAGAUGAACAGAUAGCAAAAUGUGGCCUCUCCAUGCAAUGGGAUAUAGCUCAGCCUUUACCAAAGGAGGAAAUUCUGACACAUGUUGCAACACAGAUCAACCUUGAAGACAUUGCUAAGUGAAAUACACCAGAAACAAAAAGACAAUGACUGUAAGAUUCCACUCAUGUGAGGUGUUUGGAGUAAUCCAACUCACAGAAACAGAAAGUAGAACGGUGGCUGCCAGGCACUGGGAAGAAGGAAAAAUGGGAGUUAUUAAUGGAUACAGAGUUUCAGUUUUGUAAAAUGAAACCAAAUUAAAGAUUACUG